rnacentral:rRNA from 1 species
GAUGAACGCUGGCGGCGUGCUUAACACAUGCAAGUCGAACGGUGAAGCAGAGCUUGCUCUGUGGAUCAGUGGCGAACGGGUGAGUAACACGUGAGCAACCUGCCCCUGACUCUGGGAUAAGCGCUGGAAACGGCGUCUAAUACUGGAUAUGAGCUGCGACCGCAUGGUCAGCAGUUGGAAAGAUUUUUCGGUCUGGGAUGGGCUCACGGCCUAUCAGCUUGUUGGUGAGGUAAUGGCUCACCAAGGCGUCGACGGGUAGCCGGCCUGAGAGGGUGACCGGCCACACUGGGACUGAGACACGGCCCAGACUCCUACGGGAGGCAGCAGUGGGGAAUAUUGCACAAUGGGCGAAAGCCUGAUGCAGCAACGCCGCGUGAGGGAUGACGGCCUUCGGGUUGUAAACCUCUUUUAGCAGGGAAGAAGCGAAAGUGACGGUACCUGCAGAAAAAGCACCGGCUAACUACGUG